GAAAACUAUACUACACUGACAUAUACUUCGAAGCAUAUUUAUAUACCCUGUCAGGAGGCAUUCUUUGCUCAAUUGAUCAACAGACAAGAGUUGGUCGUAUAAAUUUUUUAUAUAACCGACAAAUUCCAGAUGAGUCAGUUGAUCCAACCCAGUUGGUACACAUGUUAAAAGGGCAAGAGAUCCCAUUUCCUCAUUUGUAAGUGACGGAGUAUGAACUCACCCCUCAAGCUGAUCCCACUUAACUACCAACUUAGUUCCAAUGGAAAGAUAUGAUUUGGUGAUCUACGCACAAUUCACACAUACCAUGUCCUGACCUUACCAUUG
rnacentral:misc_RNA from 1 species